UGAACGCUGGCGGCGUGCCUAAUACAUGCAAGUCGAGCGAACAGACGAGGAGCUUGCUCCUCUGACGUUAGCGGCGGACGGGUGAGUAACACGUGGAUAACCUACCUAUAAGACUGGGAUAACUUCGGGAAACCGGAGCUAAUACCGGAUAAUAUAUUGAACCGCAUGGUUCAAUAGUUAAAGACGGUUUUGCUGUCACUUAUAGAUGGAUCCGCGCCGCAUUAGCUAGUUGGUAAGGUAACGGCUUACCAAGGCAACGAUGCGUAGCCGACCUGAGAGGGUGAUCGGCCACACUGGAACUGAGACACGGUCCAGACUCCUACGGGAGGCAGCAGUAGGGAAUCUUCCGCAAUGGGCGAAAGCCUGACGGAGCAACGCCGCGUGAGUGAUGAAGGUCUUCGGAUCGUAAAACUCUGUUAUUAGGGAAGAACAAAUGUGUAAGUAACUAUGCACGUCUUGACGGUACCUAAUCAGAAAGCCACGGCUAACUACGUG
rnacentral:rRNA from 1 species